AGCCGCAUGCGAAGAUCGAUCUUCGCAUGCGGUCGCUUAAGAUGGCCGCAUGCGAAGAUCGAUCUUCGCAUGUGGUC
rnacentral:pre_miRNA from 11 species